rnacentral:rRNA from 1 species
CCCCAGACUCCUACGGGAGGCAGCAGUGGGGGAUAUUGCACAAUGGGGGAAACCCUGAUGCAGCGACGCCGCGUGUGGGAAGACGGUCCUCUGGAUUGUAAACCACUGUCCCCAGGGACGAAAAUGACGGUACCUGACUAAGAAGCCCCGGCUAACUACGUGCCAGCAGCCGCGGUAAUACGUAGGGGGCAAGCGUUAUCCGGAUUUACUGGGUGUAAAGGGAGCGUAGACGGCAGAGCAAGUCUGAAGUGAAAGCCCGCGGCCCAACUGCGGGACUGCUUUGGAAACUGACCGGCUAGAGUGCUAGAGAGGUGAGCGGAAUUCCUAGUGUAGCGGUGAAAUGCGUAGAUAUUAGGAGGAACACCAGUGGCGAAGGCGGCUUACUGGACAGUAA